AUACAUGCAAGUCGAGCGGACAGAAGGGAGCUUGCUCCCGGAUGUUAGCGGCGGACGGGUGAGUAACACGUGGGUAACCUGCCUGUAAGACUGGGAUAACUCCGGGAAACCGGAGCUAAUACCGGAUAGUUCCUUGAACCGCAUGGUUCAAGGAUGAAAGACGGUUUCGGCUGUCACUUACAGAUGGACCCGCGGCGCAUUAGCUAGUUGGUGAGGUAACGGCUCACCAAGGCGACGAUGCGUAGCCGACCUGAGAGGGUGAUCGGCCACACUGGGACUGAGACACGGCCCAGACUCCUACGGGAGGCAGCAGUAGGGAAUCUUCCGCAAUGGACGAAAGUCUGACGGAGCAACGCCGCGUGAGUGAUGAAGGUUUUCGGAUCGUAAAGCUCUGUUGUUAGGGAAGAACAAGUGCAAGAGUAACUGCUUGCACCAUGACGGUACCUAACCAGAAAGCCACGGCUAACUACGUGCCAGCAGCCGCGGUAAUACGUAGGUGGCAAGCGUUGUCCGGAAUUAUUGGGCGUAAAGGGCUCGCAGGCGGUUUCUUAAGUCUGAUGUGAAAGCCCCCGGCUCAACCGGGGAGGGUCAUUGGAAACUGGGAAACUUGAGUGCAGAAGAGGAGAGUGGAAUUCCACGUGUAGCGGUGAAAUGCGUAGAGAUGUGGAGGAACACCAGUGGCGAAGGCGACUCUCUGGUCUGUAACUGACGCUGAGGAGCGAAAGCGUGGGGAGCGAACAGGAUUAGAUACCCUGGUAGUCCACGCCGUAAACGAUGAGUGCUAAGUGUUAGGGGGUUUCCGCCCCUUAGUGCUGCAGCUAACGCAUUAAGCACUCCGCCUGGGGAGUACGGUCGCAAGACUGAAACUCAAAGGAAUUGACGGGGGCCCGCACAAGCGGUGGAGCAUGUGGUUUAAUUUCGAAGCAACGCGAAGAACCCUUACCA
rnacentral:rRNA from 1 species